AUACGUAGGGGGCGAGCGUUGUCCGGAAUGAUUGGGCGUAAAGGGCGCGUAGGCGGCCCGGUAAGUCUGGAGUGAAAGUCCUGUUUUUAAGAUGGGAAUUGCUUUGGAUACUGUCGGGCUUGAGUGCAGGAGAGGUAAGUGGAAUUCCCAGUGUAGCGGUGAAAUGCGUAGAGAUCGGGAGGAACACCAGUGGCGAAGGCGGGUAACUGGACUGCAACUGACGCUGAGGCGCGAAAGUGUGGGGAGCAAACAGGAUUAGAUACCCUGGUAGUCCACACUGUAAACGAUGAAUGCUAGGUGUAGGAGGUAUCGACCCCUUCUGUGCCGCAGUAAACACAGUAAGCAUUCCGCCUGGGGAGUACGGUCGCAAGAUUAAAACUCAAAUGAAUUGACGGGG
rnacentral:rRNA from 1 species